GAUGAACGCUAGCGGCAGGCCUAACACAUGCAAGUCGAGGGGCAGCACAUAAAGUGGUUUACUACUUUUGGUGGCGACCGGCGGACGGGUGCGUAACGCGUAUGCAACCUGCCUCCAACAGGGGGAUAACGGAGAGAAAUUUCCACUAAUACCCCAUAAUAUCAGAAUCGGCAUCGGUUUUGGUUGAAAACUCCGGUGGUUAUAGAUGGGCAUGCGUCUGAUUAGCUAGUUGGUGAGGUAACGGCUCACCAAGGCGAUGAUCAGUAGGGGAACUGAGAGGUUGAUCCCCCACACUGGCACUGAGAUACGGGCCAGACUCCUACGGGAGGCAGCCGUAGGGAAUAUUGGUCAAUGGAUGGAAGUCUGGACCAGCCAUGCCGCGUGCAGGAAGAAGGCCUUCUGGGUUGUAAACUGCUUUUGUCAGGGGAUAAAAAGCCCAUGCGUGGGAAAUUGCAGGUACCUGAUGAAUAAGCCACGGCUAACUACGUGCCAGCAGCCGCAGUAA
rnacentral:rRNA from 1 species